rnacentral:rRNA from 1 species
CAGUAGCCGCGGGAAUACGAAGGGUGCAAGCGUUAAUCGGAAUUACUGGGCGUAAAGCGUGCGCAGGCGGUUGUGUAAGACAGGUGUGAAAUCCCCGGGCUUAACCUGGGAACUGCGCUUGUGACUGCACAGCUAGAAUAUGGCAGAGGGGGGUGGAAUUCCACGUGUAGCAGUGAAAUGCGUAGAGAUGUGGAGGAACACCGAUGGCGAAGGCAGCCCCCUGGGCCAAUACUGACGCUCAUGCACGAAAGCGUGGGGAGCAAACAGGAUUAGAUACCCGAGUAGUCCCUGUCUCUUAUAC